GGUGAUUUGAGCUCUGUUGCUGUUGCGGGAAAGUCCAUUGAGGAUUGGAUGAUUUAGAGCCAUUUGAAGGCGGUGGUGGUGUUUCUACUGCAAAAAAAGGCUCAUGGCAAUUGGGGCAAAGCAGAUUGUGGUUAAGAUAAAUUCUGAGGUACUCGUAUUGCAUUUUGCACCGAUGGCAGACUGUCCAAAAGGUAUUGGGUUUUGGCUUAUGAGCUGAAGCAGGGGCAGAAGAGGGACCCAUCCGAGUGGUAUUCUUAUGAGCUUUUGUAUUUGUAGUCCUACUUUUAGUGAAACUGUAAAAACCAUUAGCAGCAGCGGAUGACGAUGGACCUCCACUUGGAGGCUGAACUUUCUGCUGACCUGCUUUCACAUUCCUCUUCUGAUCGUAUGCUAUUCUCUUAGUCUUAUCAGACAACAAACUCCAUGCUUCUGAAAUAAGUUUAAAUGCCCCAUCUGCCCCUAUAGAUUUGUUCUUGUCAGGAUGAAGCAUCAGGGCCAACUUCCUAUAUUGCUUCCUCACCGUGUCAUCGUCUGCUUGUGGAUUCACACCAAGUAUCCCAUACCAAUCCGCUUCACCAUUUAUUUUGUUUUCUGCAGAAAUAUGCACAUCAAGUGUUGCUAACAUUUGGGGAAGACCAUCAAGACCAGGAAACAAAUUUUGAGCCUUCAAAGCUAAUUUCUUUGCUCCAGCAAUGUCCCGUGCUAUAAACUUCUUCUCCGCGAUUUCUUUUGCUCUGGUAGCCUCGUCUUUAUUACACUCCAUUUCCCUAAUCAACUGCUUCUUUGUGUAAUAUCACAACACAGCUACCAGUACAAUAAAAAAAAAUCAGCCAAUCCCCACUAUCUGAUACCACCAAUUCCAACUUUUCUCAUAAAUCCAAAGAGGGUCCACCUUUAAUAGUCCAAACCCUAAUUCAAGAACAUUCAACAAUAGACCCAAUGAGAAUGCUACUUUAGAAGAAGCAUGAAAACAACAAGACAAUCAUCAGAACGAUUUAAAAACAGCAAAACUUAUUUCAGUUCAUCAUUCCAUCAUAGAAUUACAUGAUAACCCAAAAAAAAAAAAGGCAAUUGGAUUCCAAAUAAACCAAAUUAAGCUUUCAAAGUUCAAUAACGCAAUACAAAAAUUCCAAUACCCCUAGAUUCCAUUUAACAAUAAAACCCUUUUCUGCAACACCUCCAAAAUAGCCGCUCACCCAACUUAUCAGAAACACAAAAACAUCAAAAACCAAAGCCAAGAAAAAAAAAAAAAUUUCAGGCAAUUGAGUUCCAAAUAAAUCAAAUUGAGUUUCCAAAUUUCCACAAUGCAAUACAAAACUUCCACUACAACACACCCAAAUUCCAUUCACAACAAAACUCCAUUUCGAUACACACCGAAAACAGCCAUUGAACCACCAUAUCACACAAAAAGCAUCAAACACCCCAUCAACCACAAAAUUCAGAAAACCGCAAACACCCAAUAUUUGAAUCAUAGAGAGAAAUCAGAAUCAAACAAAGGAAUCAUCCAUGGAUCUACAUCACCCAAGGUGGGAAUCAUCUUAAAGGACCAGAAUUCACCAAUUAAAGCAACUAAUUUUGAUGAACAAAAGGAAACCCUAGAAACAGUCAUGUGUCUAGAACACAGAGAGUGGAGAGAAUGAGAAAAAUAUUUACCCAUUUGAUGAAUUUGAAUCGCAGAGCCACCAUGGACAGACCUCCAUCACCAAAAAAUUUUCUUUUUUUGCCCCUCUUUUCCCACCCAAAUCCAAAAAAUCCCCAAAACUGGACCUUUUGUCAAACCCCUCUCAAUAUCUGGACAGACUUCACAAAUAAAAAAUCACAAGCGAUAAAUAAAUACAAAAUAAUUUAUACAAAUAAAUAAAUAAAAAUAUAAAGGCAGUAUGGGCUACCCUUGGGUUCAAAGUAUAUGUUUUUGUUAACCCCAACCCAACCUUUUUCAUCUCAUUGGUUGGAAUCCUAACCAUGGUUAAUUUUUAACUCUUGAGUUGGGUUUGCAAGUUUUCUAUUUUUAGCAUUUUUAUUAGAGUGGAGGAUUCUUUUUUCUAGAGUUGAAAUAAAAUUUUAUAGCAAAAAUUAUUUUUUGGAAAUCAUUAAAUAAGUAUAGAAAAAUAUUUUUAUAAGAAUACAAGGUAUGGUAUACCAAAGAAUGAUCCAAUUAUUCAUUUAUUUAAUUUUUAAUUUUUAAUUUUUAAUUAUUUCUUAUUAUUUUUCCUAUAAUGUAAAUAUUUAUAAUAAAAAAACUCAUAUAUGUAACUCUUUUUUUAAUUGAUGAUAAGAAUAAAAAGUCUUAGCCUACAUCUUAAACUUAAUGCUAGUUUUGAUAUUACAAAAGUUUCAUUAAAUAUAAAAUAAUAUCUAACAUAAAUUAAAAAAAUGUACUUAUAAAAAAAUAUUCAAUAAACAUUAUCAACAUAUGAAAUAUUGGUAUAAAUGUAAAUUUUUAUUUAAAAAAUGGUUUUAUAUUUCUUAUUAAGUGACAAAUUUCCAAAAACCAUCAUCAAAAUAUCACUAAACUAACUAAACUAUACUUCAAUGGUGUUGUCAAAAUAAAAAAAAUUAAAGACAUGCAACUUGAACAUGAGAGGCUAAAAGCCAAAAGAGUGUAACAUGUAUCUAAUGCCACCCAACAAACCCAUCCUCUAGAGUAAUUGUACAUAAGGUUACUUUGGUCAUUUCGCUUGCAACAAAGUUGACAAGAGACGUGCCUUCCUCUUCUAAACUAGGUGAAAUCCAAACGAAGCUUUUGGACCACAUGAAGUAGUUUUGAUAACAAGGCAAUUGAGGAAUGGAGGUCAUUAAACAAGUGUCAAUCUCACCAAGUCAUUAAACUCCACAAACAUAAGAAUUAUAUAUAUAAAGAUGGAAUAACCAUUCAAUAUGUCAAAGAAAUUUGACUAUCAUUGAAGCUUGGGACGUGAUUAGAAGGUUGAAAAAUGUGUUAAAGCAAUGUAACACGUCAAAUUAUUGAGGAGGAAGUAGAUGGAUCAAUAAUAACUUGUUUUAGUAGUAUGUGAUAUGAUAACAAAUUGGUCUAAAUUGACUCAAAGUAUGGAUAUACCUAGUUGGAAAAGGUAAUCCAAACCUAUUAUUAUGAUUCAUUUCCCAUACUUAGAUGUUGUACAAAUUUUUAUAGUAUAAUUGAUCUCUAACAGUAGAUUGUGAUAUGCUUGUAUAAAUCAUCGUGUUAUAAUAGAGCCCUUAAAAAUGUGACAUAGUGUAAUAAAUUUGAAAUUCAUUAUUUAAUGAUAUUCUACUUUCACUUUUAUCUAUCUUUGUUCUAUGCAUUGCACUUUAUGGACAUUUUCACCUACAUUGUAUGUGAUUUAUGUGCAUUAGAAGUUGAAUGCAAGAUUUAAAUCACAAGUUCCUUACAAAUAGAUGACUUGUUUACAAUCGGUUCAUGAUUUUAGAUAACUCAUUAGAGGUUUGUAUUGCACUACCUUCUAAUACAAGGAAUGACUGGUCUUAACUAUCAAGAUGAGUUUUCCAUAGCGAUUGCAUUAGUGUGUAUGGUUACACAUUAGACAAGACUUACAGUAAGUCAUAACUUAAAGUCAACAAGUAGUCAUGACCUCACUAAGUUGUUUCAUUGUGUUGUCUCUCAACCUUGAAAGAAUAUUGAGUUUGUGCUAAAACUAACGAUAGUUUUGACCCAUUGGUAAGAUUGUAAACUGAUUAUGUAUUCCCUACUUAUGAAUUAGGUCACUAUUGAUGGAAACCAGUAACAAUAAAUAUUUUCAGCAGAUGCACCAUGAUAUCUUAUGGGAUUGAGGCAGAAUGUCUCAUUGGGUGAUUCUAAGAAAGUGUGUUCAUAAAAACUAUGGUCAUGGUAGUUCUUUAAGUUUAACUUGACAUUAAUUCUUAAAGAGUUAAGACUUAUCAAUUGAAUACGUAACAAGAAGAUUUGUAACUCAAAGAUAAUAGAGAUAGUCUUGAAAGGUUGAUAGCUUUCACUUUGUUAAACUACAAACAUCAGUUCAUGUAAGACUUACCAAUUGUAACAUGUAAUGCAUGCCAUCAUAAUGUACAUCUACAUCAUUGAUCAUGGUACAUAUAUGAGAAGUAUUGUCAUAUUCAAAUAAAACAAACUCUUAACAAGUGUAGUAAAGUAUCCUUCUUAUGUCCUAUUUAGCGAUUUGGAUAAUCUUGAAUGACCAAUCUGUGGAGGCCUUAUCCCACGAGUACUUCCAUGCGUCUGUCCACGUGGCAUCGUCCCAAUUAGGCCACAUGUCACUUCUUUCAUCACUGCUCGAACAACCUUCAAGGCAUUCGGAGACAUCCUGUCUGGACCAUUUGCGCCAUUGAGCGGCCCUCAUCUCCCUGAUAGCCUUAAAUCUUCUUUGAUAUGCGAGAUCAUGGCCAAUUGACAUCCAGAUGACUAAUGGGAUUCUCCCCAUCCUCACAUCUACAUCAGCGACUCCAGUCCCAGACCUUCAACAAGAUUGAAAGGACGACAAGUUGUAUCAUGACGCGUCGUCUGACACAACCCCCAGCCGUCCUACAGAUGUGAUGAUUACGUUGUCACUAUUGCGCAAUCACACUAUAAGGGCCAACUCAGCACUAUUGAGUCUUCCUCCACCUUUGAACACUAUAAAAACCCUACUGAAAUAGAACAUGGGCAGGACUCUGGGAGCUCUCUCAUUCUCUCUCUCUCUCUCUCUCUCUCUCUCUCUCUCUCUCUCUUAGGGUUUCUAUUCAUUCCCAAAGUCUGACAUGAGCUUCAGAGGUUGUGUCCGAACAUCUUUGUGUAGGGAAGCAGAAAGCCCAGAUUCUGGCACCGGAAUGGGAACUUUCACUGCCACAUCCAAGGGAGGAAUCCAUCCUCAGUUGACCUAGUAUCAACACAAUCCACCUACUUUAAAAAUAAUAGACAAAAAGUAAAACAAAACUCUAAAACAUGAGAUGAAGUAAUGGAAAGGAAUUAAAUAUUUCUAGAUAUAACAAAGGCAAUAAUCCCACGAAACUUAUAAAAAUCCUUAAUAUCUCUAUAUAUAAAUUGACACUCAAUCAAUAAACCAUCAUCCAAAAUUACAUUGAAUACAAUGAGAUUGAUUUCUUUGCUAUGAGAUUUGUCAUAAGCUUUGAGUAUUAUAUAACACAAUAAUCUAAAUCAUGAGAGCAACCUUUGACUUGUGUCUUUUAAAAGCAAGUGAAGACCAUGUUCCAAGUUUCUAAUUGAAACCCAAAUGACCUUUUUUGGUAGAGGAAGAAAAAUAUAGAACUAAAUAUUGUGAGGUUUACAAGCUCAAGUGAAAAUUCCUCUUGCAUCCUCUACACAGUCUUAAAACGUUCUUAACAAAAUUAGCUAUUUGUAUCCUUUCACUAUCGAUCUAUUACCAACAUGAACAAUAUAAUCAAUUUGCCUAUUUAUUUCCCUACAAAUAUGCCUAUAAAUAACAUUGAACUAGCUAUGAUCAACCAAAUAUUCUUGAUUAGCAUAACAAUAUUACACCUAUUGGUUAUAUUCAAUUAUGGAAAUGUCAUAAUACGUAUGGAAAUCUGAACAAAAAAAAUUGAUAGACAAACUCAUAAAUAUAUUAAGAAAAAUUAAAAAAAUAAUAAUAUUAUAAACUUCAAUAAUUUACUCAUUGAAGAAAACUAUAAAUUUAUGCAAGUAAUAAUAUAAAAAAUAAAAAAACACAUUUAUUAAGUACAAUGACCUAUUAACUUUGGAUGAAGUUAAGGUUAUAAAAGAAAUGAUAAUGCUUGUAUAAUUGUUUUUCAAAUUUAAAUUUUUUUAUAAUUUAUUUAUAAAUAUAUUUUUUAGAAUAUUAAUGACUAUACAAAAUGUAAAAAAUACUUCUUAAAAAGAUUAUUAUGAUAGUUUUUACAUUUUCAAUAAUAAUUAAUUGAAAAUAAUUAAUUUAUUAAAAUUUAUUUUAAUAUUUUAAUUUUUGUAGGGAGAUGGAAAAAUAUUUUAUGAAUACGGUUUAUAAAUUUAUAAUAUAUAUAUAUAGUUUUUCCUAUCCUUAUCUUUUUUUAUAAAAUAAUAAUUUUUAUUUUAUGUCCUUAUGUAUAUAUUGUGAUAAUUGAUUUAAAGUUACAUAUUUAUUAACAUAAUUAGAUAUUUAUAUAUUUUUAAAUAUAAUAUAUUAGAAAAUAUUUUUAUUAAUUGUGUAAUAAAUACAUAACUAUAAUUGAAGACAACAAUUAAUAAUACAUUUUUUGACAAAUUUAAAAAUGAUAAUUUCAUAUUUGAAAUUAUGAACAAUCAAUGAUAAUGAGAUGGGACAUCUAAAGAAUUUAAAGGAUUUGAAUCACAAGGUGAUAAGAUAAGAUGCAAUUAGCUUUAUAUACUUAAUUAACUACGAGUAAAUUACAAAUGAUUUAUUUGAUAGUCCAACAAAUUGCAAUACAUAUGAUAUUUUAAAAGAUAAUUUUAAUUGAUUAAUAUACUAGUUACAUAGAAUGUUAUGUUGAUAGAAGCUUUAAUACAAACAAAGUUAGUUCAAGAACAUAAAAGAUAAAACAAUCAAUACAACAAUACAUGAUGUUUUAACGUGGUUUAAUCGAUUAUACUUACAUUCCCGAAUGAAAGAGAAUUAUUUCAUUGUACUAUAGAGAAUAUUACAAAUGAUAAAACCGAAUAUAAUUAUUAGGUUCUCGAAACAUCUCAUUUUCACUACUCUAUUUAUCCAUGUCCUGAACCAUAAACUUUCUCACUUCAUUAGGUGUCUACUGUUUUUUCUCACAUUUCUAUACACACUAAUUAGACUGUCAUAUAGUAAUUAUAGGGUUAAUUUUUAAAAUAAAUGAUUUUGAUCAUUGAGGAUUGGAUGAUUUAGAGCCAUUUGAAGGUGGUGGUGGUGUUUCUACUGCAAAAAAAGGCUCAUGGCAAUUGGGGCAAAGCAGAUUGUGGUUGAGAUAAAUUCUGAGGUACUCGUAUUGCAUUUUGCACCGAUGGCAGACUGUCCCAAAGGUAUUGGGUUUUAGCUUAUGAGCUGAAGCAGGGGCAGAAGAGGGACCCAUCUGAGUGGCAUUCUUAUGAGCUUUUGUGUUUGUAGUCCUACUUUUAGUGAAACUGUAAAAACCAUUAGCAGCAGCGGAUGACGAUGGACCUCCACUU
rnacentral:lncRNA from 1 species